UAUAUUAUUUAUUCUUAUUAUUUUUUGCUUGCAGUUCUUAUUGUCCUCUGGAAAAUCCAGUGUACAGUUACUGAUGAAAAGGUGAAAAUAUGUACAUCUAUAUAGUGAUGCUAUCAGGUUUCGUCAUGUGUGGUCACCAUCUACACACAGGCAUUGUGGCAUGCUGGGUGUGAAGAGGUUUGGUGCUGCUGGGCAUUGCUUGAGUGGAAUGAGGAUGAAAGCUGGUAACACUUGAGUACAGGUCAUGUUGGAGGUGCUGUCGUGUGCCCAGCCAAAUGGAUCUCGGAUAUUGAAAUUUUGCCGCUGGUAGAAAGGAAGAUCCUUCUGGGAAUGGAUAUAGAUCUAGUGAGAAACAUAUUGUGUAUAGAAGGAAGAAAUAUAUGUUGUUGUCUUUCUUUUAUUAAUCUACAUCCUGUUUCUUCUACUUGGUUAUUUCUUUGGUUGGAUAUACUUGGUCUGGUCUUUAUUUUUUACAGAUUAAAAGCAGUAAAUUAAUGUAAAGCUGUAAUUGCAUGACAAUGCCCAUUAAGGUCAUAAGGAGGGUAUCCAUGCAAUAUAUUGAGUUUUGAAGCUUUUUUUGUCUGUAUAUAUUCUAAAUUUGUCUUAAAACACCAUUAAUGUGGUGAAAUUUGCGCCUUUAACAUUUAUUACAAAUGUUUUUUUUUAUUUAAUAUCAUUAAAGAGAAUAGUGCAUUCAUAGAAAACUGAACAGUUUUUUAUGUAAUGAAGUCUUGUAUAUAGUCUUGGUUGGUAAUAGAAGUUUUUGAGUAUUCGAUUUCAAGUUGAUUGGAUAACUUGCAGUUUACAGUCUCUAAUCUCAAGAUGGUUUGGUUGUAAGUUACAGCGAGUAUUGGUAUUGAUUUUCUCUAAGAAUUGCCGUAUAUUACGAGCUUAUUUCAGAAAGUGUUUUCUUUAAUGCAUAUUCUAUGUUCCUUCAAUAGCUUUAGUAAAGGCUUGGUACAAGAAUCACAAAAAAAAAAUUCUAGCAUUCUUUAUAAUGAGUGUUCAAUUGAUUUUCAUUUCCCAUCUGAAUAAGUUAAACCAUGAUCCAGUUAAUGGAUUAAUUGUUUUAAAGGAGAGCUGUAAUGCAGUUAUGAUAUUUUUCAUAUUCUGAAGUUUAUCGUAUGUUAGAACUCUCCAAAUACCAUCAAGAAAUUGUUGAUAAGAAAUUGGUAGAAUGUAUUUAUAGAUUUCUUCAAUAUGAUGGGUGAAUAUUAUGAAAAUCUCUAAUACAUGUUUAACCAUAUACCAUACCAAGAAUAGAACAUGCAUAAUAACAUACCAUUUACUCAAAAUAUACUAGCAUAAACAUGAACUUUUAACCUUAUUUUGGGGGAACCUUUAUGAAAUAUAUAUGGGAUACUGUCGGUGACCUUCAAUCUAUAUUGUACAACGAAAGUGCUGUAGCCUGAAGUUUGGAGAUAAACUGGUAAGUAGUUUUUUUUACUCCUUCGGCUACAAGAAGUUUAUCGUAGAGUAAAUAUUUCACAUUCAGUAUUUGUGGGUGGAGGGAAAUAGAAUGUGACUCAAAGUUUGGUGAAGGAAAUUAACUUAAAAGUUUAAGGGAAAUUUCAGCGUUUUUUCAGUGUGAAAACGCUGCAGACAUCCAUUUAACAACUACAUGGACAUGCACCGACACUGUUUCACUAUCAUUCACACUAACUUACGAUUUCCCUCUUCAUUUUUUCUCCUAAUUUAUUUUUGUAAUUUAUUUAAAGGUUUUAGAAAUAUUGUUUUAAAUUCACUUCCACCUCCAUUAGGUCUUCAACGAUCGAGAACAUUCAUAUGAUAAAUGUUUUAGAGAAUGGUCAGGACAGAGCAGUUCAUCUUUUUUUUUUGUUAUGAUUUGUAACACGGACACACGUUAACAAUCUCCCUCACUUAACUCAUGAAAUCAGCACGUAAACAUCACGCAUCGAGUUGUUAGCACCCUCUCUAAGAAGGGCACAUUCUUUGAUCAUCCUUAGGCAACGGAGUAUGUUGAUGAGCACAUUGUUUAUCUACUGAGGUGCAUAAGGAAUAUGAUGUAUCAAAUGUUGAUUUUUUUUGGUUAAAUAUAUAUUUUAUAUUGAA